ensembl:lncRNA
GCUGCUGUCAUGCUGUGGUUUGCUGCUGCUCUGGGAUCAGUGAUUCCAGAUCAGUGUUCAGUCCUGAUGAGCAGUCUUUAUCUCUGAGUGGAGACCAUACAAACACAGAGACUACGGUAAGAAGAGCUUCACGCUAUAAUACAGUAUAUUGUGUUUUAUUAGUUUCUGUGUAUCAUGAUGCCAGUGUUUUAUCAGCAGAUGAAUGAAUCAGGCCUCGAUAAUUAUACUGGAACACUGGGAGACAGUGACGACAGCGUUGACGGUGCAAAAUACACACUCUUAUACACCCACACUUACUAACGUACCGUUAAUACUAUAGUAUCAUAAUAACAUGCAUUUGGACACUAACAUAAUGAUAAAAAAACAACAUGCAUUUGUUCGUCAAACAGAUCAAGACUCAAAAAACCUGCUGGCGGCUUCCUGGGAGUUUAUCCAUCAGGAAAGACAGAUUAAAGAGGUAAAGACCCGAUGAAACACUCACAGUAUGCUAAUGCUAACAGGAAAUGGCUAACAGGAAGUGGUUCUCACAGCAGUGUGGAGAUGACGGAGGAGGAAGUGGAGAGCGCGUUUACCCAGUUUGCAAUGGGGUUUCACUGCGACCCGUACACGCUGACCCAGCGGCUGCAGGCGGAGCGACACGACACGACCGCAGCGUCGCCGUGGAGAACCUGCAGAGAGAGCUGAGACAGAGCAGAGAGAUGCUGCAGGUGUUGUAUGAGCAUCUGCCAGAGGUGGACAGCAGAAAGAUGGUGCAUCAGAUGGAAAAUAACCUUCAGUUGCUGGAAAACAACAUGGACAAUGUCCUCAAAACAGCAGAGAUGCUUGGUGCUGCACACCAGGAAGCGCGAGUCAGUUAUGCAGUAGAGCUGAUGUCAGUGCACAUGGAGCAUCUGAAGAGACGCCAUGCAACAGUGAGCGAGGAGAUGCUGGAGGUCAGGAAGCUGCUGCACAGGAGGAAGGGCCGAUUACACAGUGACUCCACAGAUGACUGAGACCUGUUCAGACAUUCAUCACAACAGCCUGUGUUUAUGUCGUAGCCGACACAUCGCAGGGUCAGCAUCACGUUACUUCCGACUCAAUCUGAGGCACGUGUUUCUGGUUCAGUUUCCAGCGUUCAGUUCUUUGGGUUUAGCAGCUGAAUGUUUUCAUGAGUCUUUAUGUUGGUUUCUUCUCUGCAGUUGAAGCAUCUAGAGACGUCAUUUCUGGAGAACUGCAAAACCAGUGCAGACUCAAAGAAGCGGCCUGCUACGCAGGAGGAGACAGGAGGCAAAAAUACACAUCCUUAAGUUUGAGGGUAGCUAAAACUUUAAUUAACCAGAAAGACUGACUGUUUCCUGCGUGCAUCUCUUUUAGACGUAGUUCCAGCAGAUUCUCCUGUGAACCGGCUAAACCAAGAUGACAGCGUGUUUCAAAGGUAAAACGCAAGCAGUACUUUGAGAUAUGUAUUACAUACAUUAUGUAAGUGCAUGUGACCAAACUUCAUUUUCGCCAGUGUGACACAAGUCACACCGCUGUGUCGUCGCCGUUGUUAUUCUCCAGUCGAAACGAGGGGAAGUUUAUUUGAGGGGGAGGAGCCAGAACGAGGGGAGGGGUCCAACCCUGAGCUGUAAGUUUACAUGUAUUCAUCAUAAUUUACGAGCGUAAAUCAUACCGCUGACUUGCUAUCUGAUGUUUGCAGACGUCUCACACCACUGUUGUCCUG